rnacentral:rRNA from 1 species
UGCCUUACACAUGCAAGUCGAACGGCAGCACGGGAGCUUGCUCCUGGUGGCGAGUGGCGAACGGGUGAGUAAUGCAUCGGAACGUGCCAUUGAGUGGGGGAUAACGUAGCGAAAGUUACGCUAAUACCGCAUAUUCUGUGAGCAGGAAAGCAGGGGACCGCAAGGCCUUGCGCUCUUUGAGCGGCCGAUGUCAGAUUAGCUAGUUGGUGAGGUAAAGGCUUACCAAGGCGACGAUCUGUAGCGGGUCUGAGAGGAUGAUCCGCCACACUGGAACUGAGACACGGUCCAGACUCCUACGGGAGGCAGCAGUGGGGAAUUUUGGACAAUGGGCGCAAGCCUGAUCCAGCCAUGCCGCGUGAGUGAAGAAGGCCUUCGGGUUGUAAAGCUCUUUCGGCCGGGAAGAAAUCGCAUGGGUUAAUACCCUGUGUGGAUGACGGUACCGGAAUAAGAAGCACCGGCUAACUACGUG